rnacentral:tRNA from 2 species
UAUAAGAUGCCUGAAUAAAGGGUAAUUUUGAUAGAAUUAAUCAUGUGAGAAAUCACUCUUAUAA